rnacentral:lncRNA from 1 species
GGCUCCUGGCAUGACAUCUUUUCCUCAGCUCAACUCCCUCAGAGUCACCCUGUGUGGAGGGAGAGCACUGUGUUUUCAUUUCCUUUUGACCGAUUCCAGUCUCACCAGGCUCUUUCUAAUCUGUACUUAGGAAAUGCCUCCCGGGGUCACCUCUUCCUUUCCUGCCCGUGGCGCAGAACCACGCAUUCCGGGGCUGGAACAAUGGCCAUUGAAGCAGCCGGGCCAGUCCUCCUCCACACGAGGGUGAUGUCAGCAAACCCAGGAAGCUUUCAGAGCCAAGAGAGCCUCAGACCCAGGAGCAAGCAGUUUGGGAUCUCCGUGGCCACAGGGUUCUGUGUGCACAGGAUGAGAGCAGAGGAAGGGUUCCCGCGGAAGAAUGCUGCGCAGAGGGCGUGAGAGCAGGAGGGGCUGCCCUGAGGCUAAAGGCCAUCAACCAGCCACAGCCCGCAGGGAUAUCAGCUUCUGGAAAGCGAAAUUGGUUACCAAAAAAUGGCUACCCCAUUUUUGGAGGUACUUUGGGGGCACAAGCUAAAUGAAACCAGUCAUCACUGCCCUGCCUAGAGUGAAGCCAAACACAAGGAAGGCCAACCGUCUCUCCUGGAAUUGUACCCCGGCCUGAACCUCCCAGCUUUCUCAGGAUUCACCCACAGACUCCCAAAGCCAGCUCUGGAACAAUCUACUCCACUGAACUUGAACCUCAAAACCAUGCUAGACGUCUCCCAAUGCCCUCCCUCUGCAAUGUGCCUCCUUCCUUCUGCAUCGCCAGUUAUCACUACCAAAGUGUCUACGACUGCUCAGACGUAGACAGACAACCUGAAUGUGCUCCCACGUACUCCUUCCUUCCCUUAUGGUGACGUUCUACAGUAAUUCCAUUAAAGUUACCAAUAGAAAAAUUAUUCCAAUGAGUGUAAAUAUUUAAGUUUUCAUAUACAUCUGCAUAGCUUUUGCAUUACUGACACAGCGUUGUAGAUGAUGAAGGAACGAUUUACAUUAGUGUAUUUAUCCAAAUCAGUAACUGGUCGUAUGGAACUAGGCACUGUACAAAUGGAAUAGUUGAGCAUAGAAACAGUGUCUCACUCAACGGAGUAUUUUUAUUGCCUGGUAAAAUUCCUGUUUCACUGUAGUUGAUAAAUGCUAGCUGCUGAAUCCAGGCACACAUCAUUUCUUCCAGGCCUCCAACAUCAGAAAUCCAUCAGAGAACUCUGUGAAGUUGCGUAGAAAUAAGGGCUGGUGUGUCAGUGUCUGGUAAGAAGACUACUUUGUCGGUGGAUGAAGAUCUGGAGAAACCCAGGCAAAAAAUUCAUUGUGAAUUUUCCAGUAUUGUUCAGUACCUGUA